rnacentral:rRNA from 1 species
UACGAAGGGGGCUAGCGUUGCUCGGAAUCACUGGGCGUAAAGCGCACGUAGGCGGAUUGUUAAGUCAGGGGUGAAAUCCUGGAGCUCAACUCCAGAACUGCCUUUGAUACUGGCGAUCUCGAGUCCGGGAGAGGUGAGUGGAACUGCGAGUGUAGAGGUGAAAUUCGUAGAUAUCAGGAGGAACACCCGUGGCGAAAGCGGCUCUCUGGGACGGUACUGACGCUGAGACGCGAAAGCGUGGGGAGCAAACAGG